rnacentral:rRNA from 1 species
UACGUAGGGUGCAAGCGUUUAAUCGGAAUUACUGGGCGUAAAGCGUGCGCAGGCGGUUGUGCAAGACAGAUGUGAAAUCCCCGGGCUCAACCUGGGAAUUGCAUUUGUGACUGCACGGCUAGAGUGUGUCAGAGGGGGGUAGAAUUCCACGUGUGAGCAGUGAAAUGCGUAGAGAUGAUGGAGGAAUACCGAUGGCGAAGGCAGCCCCCUGGGAUAACACUGACGCCUCAUGCACGAAAGCGUGGGGAGCAAACAGG